UACGUAGGUGGCGAGCGUUGUCCGGAAUUACUGGGUGUAAAGGGCGUGUAGGCGGGGAUGCAAGUCAGAUGUGAAAUACCGAGGCUUAACCUCGGGGCUGCAUCUGAAACUGUGUUUCUUGAGUGUCGGAGAGGAAAGCGGAAUUCCUGGUGUAGCGGUGAAAUGCGUAGAGAUCAGGAGGAACACCGGUGGCGAAGGCGGCUUUCUGGACGACAACUGACGCUGAGGCGCGAAAGCGUGGGGAGCAAACAGGAUUAGAUACCCUGGUAGUCCACGCCGUAAACGAUGGAUACUAGGUGUAGGAGGUAUCGACCCCUUCUGUGCCGGAGUUAACACAAUAAGUAUCCCACCUGGGGAGUACGGCCGCAAGGCUGAAACUCAAAGGAAUUGACGGGGGCCCGCACAAGCAGUGGAGUAUGUGGUUUAAUUCGAAGCAACGCGAAGAACCUUACCAGGGCUUGACAUACAGACGAAUGGUGUGGAAACACAUCAGACCUUCGGGACGUCUGUACAGGUGGUGCAUGGUU
rnacentral:rRNA from 1 species